CCCCCGGUAGCUCAGUGGUAGAGCGGCCGGCUGUAGACCGGCAGGUCCCGGGUUCAAAUCCCGGCCGGGGGACCA
rnacentral:tRNA from 1 species